UGCACCAGUUAUCCAUGAAACUCAUGGAAAUUUCCCUUCUUUCGAUUUAUUGGAAGAAGACAAUGCAAACAUUCAGAUCAAAUCUAUUCCUCGCCAGCAUCAAAACUGAAAGCAAUUGAUCCUAUCUUACAUAUGGCUCUUCAGUAAGUUAAUGUGGGGAAGAAACAUUAGGAGGCCAAAGUAGUGUCAAGUUAUCUACUCCAUUCAUUAAAAGCUGUACAGUGAAGAUGACUGUAGUUCAAACUCCAGAACAAUUUAUUUUUGCAACUUCAUUCGAACAUGAGUUUUACACCACACUGACAACCACCAACCAGGAUAACAGAAAUCUCCACCAAGGCAGGAACACAGCAGCAGCUAUCCAGGAGAAGCUACUCCAGCAAGGCAAGAAACGUAAUAGAAGCUUCGAAAGUUGAGUUUCAUUUAGCCAAGACCAGUAUUUCUUGGCAGGUGUAUUAGACCAUCAUAACAAAUGGGCAUGUGCUGUUUUAUGAAGUGAUAAACAUGAUUCAGUGUACCAGACCAAAAAUUGUACCGGACCAAAAAUUUCGGUCCAGUUUUUGUAAAAUCAUACUAUCAAAUUUUCCUCA